rnacentral:tRNA from 1 species
AGCAGUGUUGCCUAGUGGUUUGAGCUUUGGACUAUGGCUCUGGAGACCUGGGUUUGAAUCCCCGCUUGGCCA